UGAGGAAUAUUGGUCAAUGGGCGAGAGCCUGAACCAGCCAAGUAGCGUGCAGGAUGACGGCCCUCCGGGUUGUAAACUGCUUUUAGUUGGGAAUAAAACAGCGGACUUGUCCGCUCUUGUAUGUACCUUCAGAAAAAGGACCGGCUAAUUCCGUGCCAGCAGCCGCGGUAAUACGGAAGGUCCGGGCGUUAUCCGGAUUUAUUGGGUUUAAAGGGAGCGUAGGCGGAUUGUUAAGUCAGCGGUUAAAGGGUGUGGCUCAACCAUGCAUUGCCGAUGAGACUGGCGAACUUGAGUGCAGACAGGGAUGGCGGAGUUCGUGGUGUGGCGGUGAGAUGCUUGGAUAUCACGGAGAACUCCGAUCGCGAAGGCAGGUGUCUGGGCUGCGACUGACGCUGGAGCUCGAAAGUGUGGGGAUCAAACAGG
rnacentral:rRNA from 1 species